GGUACUUGAGCCCAGAGACGGAGCCAGCUUUUUUUUUUUUUUUUUUUUUUCUGUUUUAUUUAUAGCUAGAAGUUAAAAUUUCUAAUGCCUCCCCUCUUUAUACCUGAGAUUCCACUCCACAGGAGAGAUGUCGGGUCACUUCUGACAGAGUUGAUAAGGACUUCUGCUCAGCACACGAAAGACCAGUACAUCGGGAGGCAAGUUGCUGGGGCAGGAAUAACGGCUUUAAUCAGAGAGCCAUCAGCCUGAGAGGUCAGGGGACUAAUGCCUCAAAGAAUCAGCUUCCCCAGUCAGAAUUCUGGUUCCUUUUCUACAGAGGAUGAGGAAGGGGCGGGCAACCACUGUGAUGCUGACCAACCAUUGGUCGAGCCUAUUGCUUAUGGCCCCGCCUUAACAGCUGCACCUUAACGGUUCCUGUGCCAGCCCCGCCCCUAGGCCAAAGUCUCUUCACAGCAAGAAAGGAAGUGCUGUCUGGCUUCUUGUUGCCAACGGACACCAGAAGGAUUAUUACCGGGUGCUAUACUCGGGGUACUCACGGAGCUCUCAGAGCCACCAGCGUCACUACCAGUGUUGGAAGGAGGGGGCUGUGGCAGUUUUGUCUCGAGAAAAUCCUCUGUCCGUGGAAUUCUCCAGGCAAGAAUACUGGAGUGGGUUGCCAUUCUCUUCUCCCAGGGAUCUUCCCAACCCAGGGAUGGAACCCUGGUCUCCUGCAUUACAAGCGGAUUCUUUACCGUCUGAGCCACCAGGGAAGCCCCGAGAAAAACCCCAGUGCUCCGCAUUUGUGACAAAAUGAUCUCCUAGGACAAAUCCCAGGAAAAAACGGGUGUCACUGUCUGGGUAAGACAUGGAUGGACUCAGCUGCUCCUGACUUGAUUCUUCAAAACCAUCAUCUCUGCAGUGGAACAGUUUCCCUUGUAAUUUACUCCAAAAGUACCUCUGAUGAUAGAGCCAAGAGAUCAGCUAUGAAGGUUGUCCCAUCACUGUCCGUCUUGCUGAUGUCAUGCUCAUGGACAAUACUACUCUCAGUGCCACUCAGAUAUUCUGCUAACAUUCAUCUUGUAGCUUUUACUUUUCUGGGGUUGUGAGUGUCAGUUAAUAAGAGCUGGGUUGUCUUAGUGAUCCUAGGAUUUUGCUACUUUCGACGAUGGUUGAACGUGGAUGAAUAUUGAAUAUACCUCCACUGUUCUCUUCCUUGGGUCAUUUCCCCGCCCCACCCUGCCCCCAGAAGGCUUCUUCUAAGCUCAUGUAUGUAGAUACCUAGGGAAUUUGUCCUCAGUCUCUUCAUUCAUGUGCAGUUAUGCCUCUGUGUUUAGGUUACAGCUGUCACUCUGUUACAGACAUCACUCCAUUGGGUUUAAUUGUGUGCAGCGACAGCUACUAUAGUUGAUGGUGUUCCUUCCUCUGGUGUCUGGGCAGGCAACAUGGCAUAAGGCAAAGAGUCCUGGACUGAGUGUCAGAGCUGCAUCUAACAUCUCCUGAUUCCUGCAAAGCCACGUGGCCUAGGAAAAAAUGUCCAUCUCCCGUUGCCAUAUUUGCACAAUUUUGUCAUCUUAUCUCUAAGGAUCUUCCCUUUCUAACACCCUGUGAUUCUAGGUGCACAGGUCACAAGCUGUAUAAAAACGUUACUUGUGCUUUUUAGCCAUGAAUAUCAUAUGUAUUGGAGAAUCAGAAGUAUCAGUGGGUUUGGAGUAUUGGGAGGAUGUUAAUGUGGGAGAUUUAAUGUCUAUUCUUUACCCCUCCAAAUCCCAGAAGCUUUUGUCGAAAUCCAU
rnacentral:lncRNA from 1 species